rnacentral:rRNA from 1 species
GACAGAGGGUGCAAACGUUGUUCGGAAUUACUGGGCGUAAAGCGAGUGUAGGCGGUCCGAUAAGUCGGGGGGGAAAGCCCUGGGCUCAACCCAGGAAGUGCACUCGAAACUGCCGGGCUAGAGUAUCGGAGAGGUUGGUGGAAUUCUCGGUGUAGAGGUGAAAUUCGUAGAUAUCGAGAGGAACACCGGUGGCGAAGGCGGCCAACUGGACGAAUACUGACGCUGAGACUCGAAAGCGUGGGGAGCAAACAGG